GGUGACACUGAGGUGACACAGCUGGCACUGAGGUGACACUGAGGUGACACUGAGGUGACACUGAGGUGACACUGGUGACACAGAGGUGACACUGAGGUGACACUGAGGGGACACUGAGGUGACACUGAGGUGACACAGGUGACACUGAGGUGACACUGAGGGGACACAGGUGACACUCAGGUGACAGUGGUGACACAGGUGACACUGAGGUGACACAGGUGACACUGAGGUGACACUGAGGUGACACUGAGGUGACACAGGUGACACUGAGGUGACAGUGGUGACACUGAGGUGACACUGAGGUGACACUGGUGACACUGAGGUGACACAGGUGACACUGAGGUGACACUGAGGUGACACUGAGGUGACACAGGUGACACUGAGGUGACACUGAGGUGACACAGAUGACACAGUGGUGACACUGAGGUGACACUGGUGACACUGAGGUGACACAGGGGACACUGAGGUGACACUGAGGUGACAGUGGUGACCCCGAGGUGACCCCGAGGUGUCCCCAGGGUGCCACCAUGGCCACCAGCCGCUCGGAGGAUGAGGAGUCCCUGGCGGGGCCCAAGCGGGGCCCGGCCACCCCCGUGGGGACUGUCCCCAAACGGCGCAGCUCGUCCAGGUACGGGACAGGG